GACGAACGCUGGCGGCGUGCUUAACACAUGCAAGUGGAGCGACGAACCAGGGCUUGCCCUGGGGCAGAGCCGCGAACGGGUGAGUAACACGUGGGUUACCUACCCCGAUGACCGGGACAACCCGAGGAAACUCGGGCUAAUACCGGAUGUGGUCUUCGGACGAAAGGAAGCUUCGGCCUCCGCAUCGGGAUGGGCCCGCGGCGCAUUAGCUUGUUGGUGGGGUAACGGCCUACCAAGGCGACGAUGCGUAGCUGGUCUGAGAGGACGAUCAGCCACACUGGGACUGAGAUACGGCCCAGAUUCCGUACGGGGGCAGCAGUUAGGAAUCUUGCGCAAUGGGACGAAAGCCUGACGCAGCAACGCCGCGU
rnacentral:rRNA from 1 species